rnacentral:lncRNA from 1 species
GUGUUUUCCACUUAGUCUUGAAUUGGAUGUUGCUUUUUCUCACUCAGACCCAGAGCAGAAAAGAAUCCCUUCCUAUCGCAACAGGUCAGCUCCAAGAAGAGUGUGAAGAAGAGAGCACUUUGCAAAAGAAAACAAGGCUAUUUCUGGAAAAUAUGUUAUCAGCAACAGGUCUCCCAGGGCUGUGGAAGACUGCACGGCUACAGAAGAAAAAAAAUCAAGUUAUAGGUGCCAUGGAAAAUAAGAGCAUUAGGAAUGAAAUGAAACUAUCAUCUGAAGGCAGAAGCAAAGCCAUGAAUUGGAAGAAAAAUCAUGUAGAUGGAAGCUGAGGAGGUGGCCCUUAUAGAACUCCUGGGAUCCCAGGAAAUCCAGCCUUCACUGGGAAGAGUGGUCAAGGCAGAUGCAUCUGUGGUCUCAUUGCACCGUUCUCGGAGGCUCUCCUGACACUCGGUGCCCAGAAGCCACAAAGCUCACUCUGUGGGCUCCAACUGCACCCUGUUUGCCUUGGGAAACCACACGCUGCACCUACCUGGACCAGGCCCCUGCCCUUGGAUGUCCUCCAUGCUGCUCAAAAAGAACAUUUCCUAGGUGAAGGGAACAGCUCACCCCCAUGGGGCGCUGGCAGUUUGUGUCGGAAAUAGCCAGCAAUGCUCUGAGGAAAAGGACUCCAGGAACUGGAAGCUAUGACCCCGGGGGAUGGCCUACUGGGAUGAAUCUAGACACCUAGACAUCUAGAGGAACGACUGGCCCUGAGGAUAUGGGUGAGUGCCUCUUAUUUGAUUAAUUCUGAUAGAGUGCUGUGUGAAAUCCUAGACUCUAAAA